CCUACGGGCGGCAGCAGUGGGGAAUAUUGCACAAUGGGGGAAACCCUGAUGCAGCAACGCCGCGUGAGUGAAGAAGUAAUUCGGUAUGUAAAGCUCUAUCAGCAGGGAAGAAAAUGACGGUACCUGAGUAAGAAGACCCGGCUAACUACGUGCCAGCAGCCGCGGUAAUACGUAGGGGGCAAGCGUUAUCCGGAUUUACUGGGUGUAAAGGGAGCGUAGACGGCAGUGCAAGUCUGGAGUGAAAGGCGGGGGCUCAACCCCCGGACUGCUUUGGAAACUGUACGGCUGGAGUGCAGGAGAGGUAAGUGGAAUUCCGAGUGUAGCGGUGAAAUGCGUAGAUAUUAGGAGGAACACCAGUGGCGAAGGCGGCUUACUGGACUGUAACUGACGUUGAGGCUCGAAAGCGUGGGGAGCAAACAGGAUUAGAUACCCGGGUAGUC
rnacentral:rRNA from 1 species